rnacentral:rRNA from 1 species
UACGUAGGGGGCUAGCGUUGUCCGGAAUCAUUGGGCGUAAAGCGCGUGUAGGCGGUUCAGUAAGUCUGCUGUGAAAGUCCAGGGCUCAACCCUGGGAUGCCGGUGGAUACUGCUGGGCUAGAGUACGGAAGAGGCGAGUGGAAUUCCCGGUGUAGCGGUGAAAUGCGCAGAUAUCGGGAGGAACACCUAUUGCGAAGGCAGCUCGCUGGGACGUUACUGACGCUGAGACGCGAAAGCGUGGGGAGCAAACAGG